rnacentral:lncRNA from 1 species
CCCCCCUUAAAAAAAAUUUCAUCCUCGAAAUUUACAUACCUGAGUUUUCGAAGAGUUGUGGAUACUUGAUCUUCAUUUCUGUCUCGAGUUCCCAUGUAGCCUCUCUCUCGCUAUGAUUGCUCCAUUGGAUCUUCACAUAAGGAAUAAUUCGAUGUCGUAACACCUGAUCUUUCUUGUCAACAAUCCAUACUGGAUAUUCUUCAUAAGUCAGAUCCUUCUGAAGACGCAAAGGUUCAUAACUCACCACAUGACUUGGAUCUGAAAUAUACUUUCUCAACAUUGAUACAUGAAACACAUUAUG